rnacentral:misc_RNA from 1 species
CUUGAUUUCCAUGGGGUUAAGAUAGAGCUUGGAUGGUUCCAAGCUACUGCCUCUGGUUACUAUCAGUUGGGUAUCUUGGUAAUGGUUGGUGAAUAUUCUUUCUACAGUAUGCACCAGUCUGAUUUGUUAGAUAGAAUCAACAGUGAAUGUGCAAGGAAGAGUGCCUCUUGCACAAGCAGAAGUCUUAAGCAGCUGCAACAGGAUCGUCCAUACAUGAGUCAAGUUUUAUCUCGUAAAAAGAUGACUGGAGGAAUUAAUGGAGGUCUGAUAAAUGAUGCUACCUUGAAAUCUUUGGAGUAUAAAAGAGACUUUCUCUUUCCAUUUUCACUCUUAUUGCACAAUACAAGACCUGUUGGGCGACAGGACACACUUCAGCUUUUCAUAACUAUCAUGCUUUUGGCAGAUCUUUCCAUCACUCUCCUUGCUUUGCUUCAGUUCUAUUGGAUUUCUCUUGGCGCUUUCCUUGCAGUCCUGCUUAUUCUUCCUCUAUCCUUGCUUUCUCCAUUUCCCGCUGGUUUGAAUGCCUUAUUCAGCAGAGAACCUAGAAGAGCUUCACUUGCUCGUAUAUAUGCAUUGUGGAAUGCCACAUCUCUGUCUAACAUUGCUGUGGCUUUCAUCUGUGGCAUAGUUCAUUAUGGAUUUUCUUCUUUCCAGCCACCAGACAAGGAAAACACAUUGAACAUUAGAAGGGAGGAUGAUAAAUGGUGGUUGUUGCCAACGAUCCUUCUGCUAUUGAAGUCGAUUCAAGCUCGUUUUGUCGAUUGGCACAUUGCUAAUCUAGAAAUGCAAGACUUCUCUUUGUUCUGCCCAGAUCCAGACACUUUUUGGGCCCAUGAAUCUAGUUCUUGAUUCCAUGUUCAACACAUCAGAAUGAACUGUAUCUCUGGACUUCUCUAUCAAUGUUGAAACAGACCAAGAAAGAAGAGUCUUUUAUCUUCUGCUUCAUCCCAGGUGAGAUUGUGUCUUGCUGUGUAAAUUUUUUCCCACUGGUGUAAAGCAUUGAUUAUAGCUUGUGCAGUUUUCCUCCUCCUGUAAGUAUGGUCGUGUGCAGGACCCAUUCGAAUUAGGAUCAGUCUUAG